rnacentral:tRNA from 1 species
GGGAAUGUGGCUUUAGUGGUAGAGUGCUUGCCUGGCAUGCAUGAGGCCAUUGGUUCAAUUCCUCAGUACCA